rnacentral:pre_miRNA from 1 species
UUUUCAGUAUAAGUAUGUUCCAUGCAAUAUUGGGGAUGUACUUACACUAAAA